GCAGACAGUGGCUAAAGGAAAAAGGCACGCAAAGAGCAACCUUUUCCCCUUGCCAGAAAGAGUGGAGAUUACCAUUCAGGCUGACCACAGAGGUUACGUCAGACGAAGCAAGCAGCUCAUUCAUUCUGCGAAGAUAGCAUCAGAGUUGCAGACACAGGGUAUAACAUCUAUAUUAAUGCAGGAAGCAUUCCUGAAACAGAGGACAAGUGAGGUAUUCUUUCAUGGGAAGGAAGGACACUUACUCUGCGGACGGCCACCAUGUUGUUGCAUACCAGCACUCCUCCC